rnacentral:lncRNA from 10 species
GCCUUACCAUCUUCUUCCUAGCUGUGGAGUGUCCCCUCUGAAUGGUGAAACUGGUCUUGCCAAGUCUCUGCUUCAAACCUUUUCAUCGUCCCUCUACCACCACCUUAAGUCUGGACUCUAUGCAGAUCGUGGGAGGUCUCCUGGGGCCAGAGCUGCUGCUCCUUCUCCGAAGCUUUGUGCUUUCUGCUCCUGCAGUGCCAAAUCACCGGUGCUGGCUCUGGUUUUCUCCUCAGCCCAAAGUGGCCUGUCCUCCUCCUCCCUGCCCACUCAUCUCUUCACUUGGCGGACCCUUAUUCAUCCUUAACACCAGUGGGUUGUUUGGAGGUAGUGCCCUUAGGUGUGUUACCCCACUUUGGGGACCUUUGCUUUUGUCCCCUAUGCAGCAUCACCUCUCAACCUGGGGCCCAGGGAGGCCUGACCAUGAGAAGCGUCUCUUCCAUCCAGGAACCAAAGUCUGCAUCUCCAAGCUUGCAGAAAAAUGAUGUGUGACAGCCCACCUUGACAAAUCAGCACUGCUUACAGCCCCGCCACCGAAUGCCUUCACUCUGUCCAACUCCAAUUCCCUUUAAAGCAAUGGAAGGAAUCUGCUUUCCAAGAUCCCUUCAGAAGGAAAGAUUUGCAUUGUUUAAAGGAGAAGAAAAAUCAGAUGUUUAAGAAAAAGGAAAAAGACAAAGUCUCCUUUCAAGAAGUAACAACCCUGCCAGCUUACUUAGGUCAUGAAAUAAUGCUGUUGGCAAUGACUUUGGGGUGUUCUAUCACAGUCCCAGUACACUUUCUCCCCCAGGGCAGUAUUUUAUAGUUACUGCUUCUACGCCCCAUUGGCUCAGACAUAAUUUAUUAUUUGUUUACAUGUUUCACUUACUCUGCUAAGGUGGAAGUCCAGUGAUGCAUUAUUACUGAGAGCAUCAGUGUGUGUGUGUGUGUGUGUGUGUGUGUGUGUGUCAUUGAAAGACUCAAGGAGAUCUGACAGGUUCUGAACCUGCAACUUUUCAGAGCACAAGUGGCCUCCUCAGGUCUACAAGAGCCUCCCUGGGCUCUUGGCUCAGAUCAAAUGUGUUCUAUGUCCCUGUAGUUAGUUCCUUCUACUUCUCUGAGGAGCAAGACAAUUCCAGGAAGACACAGGCUCCCCGGGACUGUGACUUUCUAUUCACUCCUUUGACUUGUCUUCCUGUGUAAUGAUCAAAGUCCUCCCAUUUCUGGGGGGAACGUCACAGUUUACACAGCACUUUCUUCAUGACAAUAGCAUAAAGAAAAUAAUACCUGCCCUUUAUCUCCACAUGAGACACAGAGAGGUCAAGGACAUGUGCAAGUUCAAAGAGCAAGAGUGGAAUCCGGCUGGGACCAGCACCCCAUGAUGGAAGGGGCAUGAUCUUGGCUGGCCCAGUCACUUACAGCUCUUUGACCUGGGGCAGGUCAAGAAAAGCUCAGGCUCUUCACCUGCUAAAAGAUGGAAGUGAUAGUGCUUACUGCACAGGGCUGUUUUAGAAAUAAAAUAGAUGUCUAAAAAUGCUCAGCAAAAUGACUGGCAUGUAAUAAACGUGCAAUAAAUGCUACCAACAUUAAUGGUCUUUUCAAGGCAUUGUGUUUACAAAAGCUUUGGCGCCUUAUAAUAAGAAUGGUAGUAGGUGACUCUUUUGUAGUAUAAUAAUAAUAACGAUAAUAAUAAAAUAAUAGGUGGCUUACAGGCAUCAUUUGAAGUCCCCUAUGUGCAUUAACCCUUUGUGUCAUUAAGUCCUUUAUGCAUUUUUGCCACAACAAACCUAUGUGGUAGGUAGCAUUAGCACUCCCCUAUUAGGGAUGAAGGACACAGAUGGUAGUUAGGUUUAAGUAACCUGGCCUUUUACAAAGAAUUAGUCCACAUCUGAAGUGUUUCUCUGCUCUUUACUGUCCUCGUUCAGGGAGCAUGGAACUGUGAUCCCCUCCCCCCACCAUCCAUCAGCACCUGGUGAGAACUCAACAGCCUCCGUAGCUUCCGCUCCCUGGCUUCCUCCUCUAGCAGUAAAGUUCAUAAUUGUAUGUGUCAGGUGCUCUUUGGGAGAGGAAACCACGGCCCAGAGGGAUUAGCGACUUGCCCAAAUCCACGUAGGGAGCUGGAUUUAGAGCCGGCUUGAGGAUCAAGUCCGUGUUCUCACUUUCCCUUCCGUGUCCCCGUGAUGCUGUAAGAAUGCACAGGGCCUUGGGACCUCGGUCCUCCCUGCUGCCUGCAGCCCCGGGGUUUUAGCAGGCUUGAACUCCCGCACGCAGCCGCUGCAGCCGUCGGGGCCAGAGGGACAGAAAAGUUCAAUAGGGGGCGCCUGAGAGCACAGGUGGGCGCUGAGCUCCUGCCUUCCCUCCCUCCGGGCCCGGCCGACAGGGAGGGGUUAGGAAUUUAAUCCUCCGCAUUCCAGCCAGGGUUCCUGUGACAUAAUGAGGCCCAAGGAGGGAUCUCGAGUGACUUGUCAGCAGAACCCCCGAAGGGAUUUUCUAUAGAUAGCCAGGGCGUGUCUCGGGCUCGGUCCCCUGCGGCAGGAAAGUUCUUUAAUGCCUGGGCUGGGCAACGCCGUGCGCAGCAGGUGGGUCGGUGAGGCCCGCCAGGCGCUGGGCCCAGAGGACUCCGCGCCGCUAGGAAGUGUGUGGCAGCCGGGGAGGGGACGCAAGGAGCCCGGGCCAGGAGAGGGAAUUCCAACUAUGGCGUUUUGGAGAAAACUAUUUAGCUAUUUGCCCUCGCUGACCCCACCCCACGUUGGGACUGCGGCUGCAAGGAGAGGUCCCAAAUACUGAGCCUCACACAGCCUUUGAUGCUGGCUCUGGAAAGAUUCUGUGGCAUGAACCCGGCUCUCUUUGGGGAGAGAGACGUGUUUGGAAUGUUGGUGUCUGGAGUGGUGUGAUUGGAGGCUUGAGGUUUCAGAGUUCCUUAAUUUGCAUGGCCAUGCACCAAGGUUAUUAUUUUCCACGAUAGAGGAUUGAAAUUUGAAACUCUAUUUACCUUCCAGAUUCCAAACAAGCAACAUUCCUAUCAAUAAUGUCACAUAAAUAACGGCAUGAUAGCCGAGAAUCCUGUCGUUAGUAAUGUGUAUACAUAUAUAUAUAUACACACACACACACACAUAUAUAUUCAUUCUGUUUGCUGGUGGAAACGGAUUCUCAGAAGCUAUGCAUGUGUUUUACAUAAAAUAAUAGCUAAGCUGCCAAGGGCUUUAACGAUAUAAUUUCAUCAUGGGAUUCUGGGCUCUUUGGUGUAUGCCGCCAUCAGAACCCCAAGACAGAAUUAAUUCAUGUAACUGGGACAAGCCCAAAUGCUGUUUUCCCAUUCCCCUUAUAAGUGAACUCAACUAUUUUAAUUGGCCAAACAUUUGGUGGGUAGGGUAUAGCAUGGAGAAAAGCCUGUCUACUAUAUUCAUUAGCGUCCUAAUAAAUUCAUUAGAGGCAGCAUACUGUUGUUAAAAACAUGAAGUUUGCUUCAAAUAGCGUGGGUCUGAAUCCUCACUUGGCCUUAAAGCUACGAAAACUUGGGCAAGUUAUUAUCCUGGAGCCUCCAUUUCCUCAUCUGUAAAACGUGGGUGCCGAUCCCUAGCUCUCAGCAUGGUUGAGCUAUGAUUAAAUGGCUCAUGAUUAAAUGCUACUGGAACUGAUGGAAUGUAUGAAUUUAAUACCCGUCAAAGGUCCUUUGCACAGUACCUGGAGCCUACAGUAACUGUCAAUAGAUGGCUACUUUAUUAUUAGCUCAACGGCAAAAGCAAAACAUCCUUGAAACUGUUCCCUGACACCAUGAAGGCCCAAGAAUCUUAGCCACUUCCCUCCAGAAGCUUCUCUUUUUAGCUCCUAAAUUCCCCAGAUGCUCCACAUUUGUAAGUUGUACAAUGUGAGCCAGAGAGCAGGGUGGCAGCCCCCACCCUGUCUGGAAUCCCAGAAACACCUCUGAGAUUCUGACUUAGCGCAGCUGCCUGUUACAAAUAAUUCGGGAAACAUGCAACAAAACAUAUUGCAGCUCCACAGAAAGGUCUGAAGAGUGGACCUCGUGUGUCUGUCACGGAUCUGCUUUCUCCUGCAGAAGAGCCAAGGCAGGGCUCUACCUGGAAGAGUACCCCUGAGGCUCCUCAGUGAGAAGCUCAUGUGCCCCCCAACGUCUGUUAUAGUGCUACCUUGUCAUGGUGGAUAGAAGGG